rnacentral:tRNA from 1 species
GAAUGUAGCUCAGUGGUAGAGUACUUGUCUAGCAUACAUGAGGCCCUGGGUUCUGUUCCUGCUACUUCA